UUUACUGGGGUAGUGACUUUAAGGUAAUUGAAGUUAGAUAAACAUUAAUGUGGGUUUAGUUCUUAUCUAUAAUAAAAAUUUGAGUUAGUUACUUUAGGGAUAACAGCGUAAUAAUUUCGGAAAGAUCCUAUUUAUGGAGUUGAUUGCGACCUCGAUGUUGAAUUAAAUAAUCUUAGUAGAGCAGAAACUAUUAAAGAGGGUUUGUUCAACCUUUAAAUUUUUACAUGAUCAGAGUUCAGACCGGA
rnacentral:rRNA from 1 species